AUUGAACGCUGGCGGCAUGCCUUACACAUGCAAGUCGAACGGCAGCACGGGUGCUUGCACCUGGUGGCGAGUGGCGAACGGGUGAGUAAUACAUCGGAACAUGUCCUGUAGUGGGGGAUAGCCCGGCGAAAGCCGGAUUAAUACCGCAUACGAUCUACGGAUGAAAGCGUGGGACCUUCGGGCCUCGCGCUAUAGGGUUGGCCGAUGGCUGAUUAGCUAGUUGGUGGGGUAAAGGCCUACCAAGGCGACGAUCAGUAGCUGGUCUGAGAGGACGACCAGCCACACUGGGACUGGGACACGGCCAAGACUCCUACGGGAGGCAGCAGUGGGGAAUUUUGGACAAUGGGCGAAAGCCUGAUCCAGCAAUGCCGCGUGUGUGAAGAAGGCCUUCGGGUUGUAAAGCACUUUUGUCCGGAAAGAAAUGCUUGGCCCUAAUACGGUCGGGGGAUGACGGUACCGGAAGAAUAAGCACCGGCUAACUACGUG
rnacentral:rRNA from 1 species